rnacentral:rRNA from 1 species
UCCACGCCGUAAACGAUGGUUACUAGUUGUUUGGUUUUCGAACUAAGUGACUAAGCGAAAGUGAUAAGUAACCCACCUGGGGAGUACGUUCGCAAGAAUGAAACUCAAAGGAAUUGACGGGGGCCCGCACAAGCGGUGGAGCAUGUGGUUUAAUUCGAUGAUACGCGAGGAACCUUACCAGGGCUUAAAUGUAGAUUGACAGGGCUAGAGAUAGCUUUUCCUUCGGGCAAUUUACAAGGUGCUGCAUGGUUGUCGUCAGCUCGUGCCGUGAGGUGUCAGGUUAAGUCCUAUAACGAGCGCAACCCCUGUUGUUAGUUGCCAGCGAGUCAAGUCGGGAACUCUAACAAGACUGCCAGUGCAAACUGUGAGGAGG